rnacentral:rRNA from 1 species
UACGAAGGGUGCAAGCGUUAAUCGGAAUUACUGGGCGUAAAGCGUGCGUAGGCGGUUUGUUAAGUCUGCUGUGAAAUCCCCGGGCUCAACCUGGGAAUGGCAGUGGAUACUGGCAAGCUAGAGUGUGUCAGAGGAUGGUGGAAUUCCCGGUGUAGCGGUGAAAUGCGUAGAGAUCGGGAGGAACACCAGUGGCGAAGGCGGCCGGCUGGGGGUGACCUGACGCUGAGGCGGCGAAAGCGUGGGGAGCGAACCGG